rnacentral:misc_RNA from 1 species
AACCAUAGAAACCUGCGGAGUACCUGCGGAGGGAUCAUUACAGAGUUGCAAAACUCCCUAAACCAUUGUGAACGUUACCUAAACCGUUGCUUCGGCGGGCGGCCCGGGUCCUUCCCGGCGCCCCUCGGCCCUCGCGGGCGCCCGCCGGAGGUAAACCAAACUAUUGCAUUUGUAUGGCCUCUCUGAGUCUUCUGUACUGAAUAAGUCAAAACUUUUAACAACGGAUCUCAGAUCGGAAGA